rnacentral:misc_RNA from 1 species
GAUGAAGAACGUAGCGAAAUGCGAUAACUAAUGUGAAUUGCAGAAUUCAGUGAAUCAUCGAGUCUUUGAACGCACAUUGCGCCCCCUGGUAUUCCGGGGGGCAUGCCUGUCCGAGCGUCAUUGCUGCCCUCAAGCACGGCUUGUGUGUUGGGCUCCGCCCCCCUCCCGGGGGGCGGGCCCGAAAGGCAGCGGCGGCACCGCGUCCGGUCCUCGAGCGUAUGGGGCUUUGUCACCCGCUCUGUAGGCCCGGCCGGCGCCCGCCGGCGACCCCAAUCAAUCUUUCCAGGUUGACCUCGGAUCAGGUAGGGAUACCCGCUGAACUUAAGCAUAUCAAUAAGCGGAGGA